rnacentral:rRNA from 1 species
CCCCGAUCCAGAUCGCCGCUGCCUCCCCCUCUCUCUCUCCCCGAUCCAGAUCGGUCGCCUCUCCUCCCUUCCUUCUGCCGCUUCCCUAUCUCUCUUCCCGUCACCGGCGGCGGCGCCCUCCUUCCCUCACGCUGCACCCAAACCUCCCUCCCGCUCCCAGCUUUUCUUCCUCCUCCGCCGCCUCUAGGGUUUCUCUCCCCGAUCCCCAAUCCCCUAGCGCUCCACUCCUUCCUUGCCGCCGCCACCUCCGGUGCCCGAUCCUGGUGACCUCAGGCGGGAAUCGAAGACCCCUGUCCGGCAAGAUCUGGCGGGCGCCCGAGCCCGAGCGAUGAGGUGGUCCAGAUCGUGCACGGGGACGCAGCGGGGGACCCGACGGUGGUCACCGUCAGCUGCCCGAACAAGACCUGCCUGGGCUGCGACCUCUGCCGCCUCGUCGUCCUCUUCGGCCUCAACGUCCACAAGGGCGACAUGAGCACCGACGACCGCUGGUGCUACAUCGUGCUCGGGGUCGCCGCCUCGCGCCGGGCCGGGCCGUGGACUGGGACGUCCUCAAGGAGCGGCUGGUGGAGCUUCGUUCGCACCGCGCUGGAGCAGACCCGCCUCCGCACCGCCCUCACGCCCCACCCCUCGCAGGAAAAGUUCAGGCUCAUACGAGCCAACGACGAUGCGACUGUUUUGGAUGCUCUCUCCUUCAGCGCUCGUAAAAUUAGACUGCUUCACAGCUUGACGGUUGAGAAGAAAAACUAUGUUCAGGUACUUCAUCUCCAAGUCCAAAGUUUCCUUGACCAAAACCCACCAACAAUUAUCCCAAAAGGCUAUGAACUGAAAUAUAGGUUUACAUGUGAAGCUGCUUAUAUCUGAAUAUUACAGCUGCAGUUUGUUCUGUAAAAAUAGUUGCUAGCUCUUUCUGUGACCCAUCUUUAUUUCUUUGUUCUGUUUGGAUCGAGGAGGAGCCCUCUUUGGUCGACAUGCACGAGGAGGAGGAAAUUGUCUCCCCACACAAGGAGGAUGCCUGAGCUGACCAGGAGGACACCCUCGUCCACCCCGGCCACCACACAAGGGCGAGGCCGGUGAUGUCCGUGCGGUGAUGUCCCUGGGGUGGCGCCACUGUGCCCGGCGCUUUCCCUGGUCGCUGCGGUGGUGCUUCGGCGGCUUCCAGACCCUCUCCUCGAUGUGGUGAUGGUCACACCACAGCCGUGGUGUGGCUGAGCCUGUGCUAGGGUUACAACCUUCCUCUGGUUGAAGGCGCUAAGGUGUUGGAGACGUGCGUGUACUUGUUGAGCGUUUUAUCUGUAGAGUGCUAUAUUGUGAUUGGUGUAAUAUUAUAUGGUUAUAUUGUGAUUGGUGGAAUGUAAUAAACUUGAUUGGUACAUCGGUGAUUUGGCUGUUAUUUGAAUAUAUUUAAAUGUGUUCUCUGAUUG